AUCCAUGAAAACCUAAAGACACUGAAGAAUAUGUGUCCGGCCUAUCAAAUAUGUAAGGAGAAAGGAAAGACCUGAGAGGGAUUAGUUUCUUCCUCUCUAGUAGGAAAGAGGGAGAAAGAAAGGAUCAAGAGACAACUGGCUGUGUCCAUCUAAUUACCACCAUUUAUUUAGCCCUUUCCCACUCAUUGGAUUUUCAAUUUUUUGCUAUGAAAAAGAUUCUAGAAUUGACUAACAUGAAAUAAUAGGAUGCAUGUUCCAUCUUCUGAUCAUUGCACCAUACAAG
rnacentral:lncRNA from 1 species